AUGUGUGUGUGUGUGGGUGUGUGUGUGUGUGUGUGGUGUGUGUGUGUGUAAGCUCUAUACCAUAGAGCCCACCGCAUAACAAAUCCCAAUUUAACCCCUGUAUAUACGUAUAUAUUUGACUGUACAUCACUUCAUGAUGCACGAGUGAAAAUAUAAUAAGUGUGCGUAAUAUGUCAUAUUGUGUCUCACAUUUGAUGUUUCUUCAAAACUUUUUUUCAAAGAUUCCUGACCUGAUGUUUUCAGAACGUAAGGAUAUAUUGUGGAAGAUUCAAGAGUUUUUUUCGUCUUCAUCUUCAGAUUCAUGCCAUUCACACUCACACAGCUCUGCCUAUCUACUCUUUUACAAAAAGUGUGAAAAAGUGUAAAAGUGUAAAAAGGGAUUGACUGAAUCAGUAAAAAGACACAGAGCAGAAUAUCAUCAUUUAGGGUGAUACAUGCUAUAUAAGCAGAAUUUAACCAGGCUCAAAGGCUUCCAGUAAAUGACUGUGAAUGUAUUUAUAAAUCUCUCUGCUCAACAGCUGAUGAUUUGAAACAGGUGCGUCACAAACAUAUAUAAGUGUCGUGCUGUUGUCAGGAUUAAGAAGGACUGGUCUGCAAACUGUAUAUGCUUUGAAGACAAUUUUCAGUUUGAAUAUUGAUGUCAUUUAUUUUCGUGCAUGUAGUAAGACAUAUUUUAUAGGCAUCGUAUUAAUCAAACUAUAUAAUGAUUAAGUGUUAAUAAGGGAAGUCCCAUUAUCUGCUAAUAAGUAUGUAGAAUUAUUAUCAAUUACACUGCUGUAAAAGGAUGUAGUUUGGAAUAAUAUGUAUUCAUGUAAAGGAGUAUUCAUUUUUAAUACUCAUAAGAUGAAAUAUGUCACAUAAAUAUAUUUGUGUUACAUAAAAUAACCAGACACCUGAUUGUGGCAAAUACAUUAACUGUCAUCUGUUUACAUUAAGGAAAUAUAAGUCCGUAUUAUACCAAUAUACUAAUACUGAUACUGUUAAUGAGUCAUUGUUUUUCUUAGAUCAAAUACAAGUUGUGGUGGAUGAAUAACAGGUACUUGUUCUUCUGAGCGAUGUUUUGUGAUUCUGUCCAUGAAAUGUCCUAAAGGCAUUUUCUAUUAUCUGUAACUGUCAUUUGAGACACAAGGUGGUGCCAUAUACCUGUUCUUACCUUUGUUUGUAUGAAGCGAAAGAAUGAUAUAAUAAUUAGUAACAGCAGUAUGUCAGUUAUUCAGUCAUUAUUCAGAAGUAUUUGAUCUCUGAAUGCUGAAAUAAUUAAAACUAAUCAGAAUCAA